CCUACGGGUGGCAGCAGUGAGGAAUAUUGGUCAAUGGCCGGAAGGCUGAACCAGCCAAGCCGCGUGAAGGACGAAGGUGCCAAGCAUUGUAAACUUCUUUUGUCAAGGGACAAAAUCAGGCUUGAGUGCCUGACCGCGGGUACUUGAAGAAAAAGCAUCGGCUAACUCCGUGCCAGCAGCCGCGGUAAUACGGAGGAUGCGAGCGUUAACGGGAUUUAUGGGGUUUCAAGGGUGCGUAGGCGGACUGUUAAGUCAGCGGUAAAAGCCCGGGGCUCAACCCCGGCGAGCCGUUGAAACUGGCUGUCUUGAGAUGUCGAGAGGUAUGCGGAAUGCGCAGUGUAGCGGUGAAAUGCUUAGAUAUUGCGCAGAACUCCGAUGGCGAAGGCAGCAUACCGGCGGCGAUCUGACGCUGAGGCACGAAAGCGUGGGUAGCGAACAGGAUUAGAUACCCCAGUAGUC
rnacentral:rRNA from 1 species